GCAGUAGUGGUGACAGCUGCUGCAGGGGCGGUGGUGGUGACAGCUGCUGCAGGGGCGGUAGUGGUGAGAGGUGCUGCAUGAGUGGUGGUGGUGACAGCUGCUGCAGGAGCGGUGGUGGUGAGAGGUGCUGCAGGAGCGGUGGUGGUGACAGCUGCUGCAGGGGCGGUAGUGGUGAGAGCUGCUGCAGGGGCGGUGGUGGUGACAGCUGCUGCAGGGGCGGUAGUGGUGAGAGGUGCUGCAUGAGUGGUGGUGGUGACAACUGCUGCAGGGACGGUAGUGGUGAGAGGUGCUGCAUGAGUGGUGGUGGUGACAGCUGCUGCAGGGGCGGUAGUGGUGAGAGGUGCUGCAUGAGUGGUGGUGGUGACAGCUGCUGCAGGGGCGGUAGUGGUGAGAGGUGCUGCAGGAGUGGUGGUGGUGACAGCUGCUGCAGGGGCGGUAGUGGUGAGAGGUGCUGCAGGAGUGGUGGUGGUGACAGCUGCUGCAGGGGCGGUAGUGGUGAGAGGUGCUGCAGGAGUGGUGGUGGUGACAGCUGCUGCAGGGGCGGUAGUGGUGAGAGGUGCUGCAUGAGUGGUGGUGGUGACAGCUGCUGCAGGGGCGGUAGUGGUGAGAGGUGCUGCAGGAGUGGUGGUGGU